ensembl:snRNA U2 U2 spliceosomal RNA
AUCACUUCUCGGCCUUUUGGCCAAGAUGAAGUGUAGUAUGUGCUCUUGUCAGUUUGAUAUCUGAUACAUCCUCUCUCCAAGAACACUAUAUUAAAUGGAUUUUUGGAAUUAGGAGAUGGAAUAACAGGAGUUUGCUCUGCCCACUCCACGCAUCUACCUGGUAUUGCAGCACCUCCAGGAACGCUGCACACCCU